rnacentral:lncRNA from 1 species
GUGACCAUAAUGUGGUGGCUUCUCUCCCUUAGGUGGUUUGCCAACUGGGGUUGGUGGCUUGUGUUCUGGGAGUGGCUUCUCCCCCUUGGGAGGUUUUUCCAAUGGGGUUGGUUUGUGUUCAGGAGGUGGCUUCUCCACUGGAGGCUUGUGUUCAGGAGGUGGCUUCUCCACCGGUGGCUUGUGUUCAGGAGGUGGCUUCUCCACCGGAGGCUUAUGCUCUGGUGGUGGCUUCUCCACCGGAGGCUUAUGCUCUGGUGGUGGCUUCUUGAAUGGGGGAUGCUGAGGGUAAUCAGCAAGUGAGGGGGCGGUGAGAACCACCAGGCCAAGCAACACCACUAGCAAAUAUGUAGGAGACAUCUUUGGGUUUGGGCUCAGAUGGUGCAAAACUAGGAGAAUUGGCUAGCCUUUUAUAGCGGAUCGUACUCAAUAAUGAAAUGACACGUGUCAUUAUGACCCAUGUGUAAUGGGGUCGAUUUGGGUCCUACAGUGUUGAAAACUUCGACAUCCAGUUUUGGCCUUUUGCUUUCUCUACAGCCGCCUUGCUUUUUCCCUCUUUCCUUUUGUUUUCCUCCUGCCCCAUUCUAUCAACUAAACACAAUUAUGUAGUUGUUUAAUUCUUAAAUGAGAUAUUAUCGGUCAAUCGUAUUAUAUUUUAUCAAGAGAGAACGGAGUGCAAUGCAGCUGUAAUUUUAUCGUUUACUUUUAUCUCUUGGACCACUGCAUUUUUGUUAAGAGGUGCAAUAAUACACGUCUUUAUCUGCCAUUCAAUGUUUACAGUAAAGAGAGGGCACAAAACUCUUCACUGCUCUGCAUGUGUCCCAAAAAUGCGAUUGGACAAAUUAUGAUUUGCAUGCUAAAAAGAGGCAAAUGAGGUUAAUUCGCACCAUAAUUAUUUGGUUUUCUGGACACCAUAAAAAGAUGUUAUACAGGCAGGGAAAAACCUUCAGAGUUAGCUACCAAAGAUAAUUAUCAAGCAGAUAUCACCAAGAGAAUUCCAUAGAGUCUGAAUCAAAGACAGAUUGCUCGCUCGUGGGGGUUCUUACUUUCUUUUGGGUAUAACUCACUGAGGUCACUGUCUUUUUUAUUUGCAUUUCACAGUUAGAGUUCUGCUCUGGAAGGUUUGUUCUGGAAACAUAUAAAAGGAGCAUCAUUUUGUUCUUGGGUAACCCAUAGUCGUGAGUGGGUCCAUUUGCAUGCUACUUAGUUGAAAAGUUGGACAAUUUGCUCCGACGCCUACCUCCUGGAUUCCAUGCUCGGUAAAACAAGAAUAAAAAAAAAUAUAUAAUUUACAAAUGGGGGAAAGAAAAAAUGUCGGAAAAAAUAGUAAAAUUCAUGUCACAUGCUAGUGAGAGAAGGGGUUGUUACACUCACUCGAAGUUCUUUUCAAAAUAUCGAAUGGUAUUUUACUUUAUGUGUCAGCGCAGUUGUGAAUGGAACGUGCAAAAGUCCAAAUUGGCGUUUUUAUUUUUCCCAUGUAGGAUGGUGACCUUUAAUAAAUAUUUAAAACAAAAGACGAAAAAAAAAAGGAGGGAAAAGGGAUCACAAAAGAUAAAAUAAUGUUUACAAAAGCUCAAUUAGUUUGCAAAUUACUGUUUGGAUUUUGAUAGUAUUUUAUUUGUCGUUCUAUAUUUGAUGUAAAAGAGAAUUUAAGAUAUUUCCGAAGCAAAAGCAUUAGUUUGCUCUGUGAUGUCCCACAUCGAAUAGGGGAGAAAGUUUCUGGCGCUAUAUAUGUAGAGGCUCCUCUUAACCAAGUAGAUGCGUUUUAAAACCAUGAGGGCCCCCUUAGGUCCAAAGCGGACAAUAUCUACAUGAUUGGGUGUAAGUCAUUACAAAUGGUAUCAGAGCCGAUCCCCGACCCCGGUGUGGGGGUUUGUUUGGCCCUGUAAGGGGUGUUUGUCUGUUUGACCCCACAAUCCCAUGGGACACAACGAGGACGUUGUGUCUGCAUGGGGGGGCGUUUGUGAUGUCCCACAUCGGAUAGGGGAGAAAGUUCCUAGUGCUAUAUAUGUAGAUGUUUCUCUUAACCAAGUAGAUGCAUUUUAAAAUUGUGAGGGCCUCUUUGGGCCCAAAGCGGACAAUAUCUACAUGGUUGAGUGUAAGUCAUUACAUGCUCCAUGUCAAUUUCAGCAUUUCUCAUAUGUUUCACACAUACACAGAAGAGCAUCGUUUUUUAAAGCAUGCAUUUAUGUUGGAUUAAUUUGGAUUUUGUGGGAACUGGGGCAAGGAUCACAUGGAAGAGAGGUUGACUUUUUUCAGUACUUCAAUGGUUGAAAUAUGUGAAGGCUUGAUUGAUACUAAAGCUUGAAAUUGCGACUCUGUCAUUUGUAAAAAAAUAUGACAGCUUCCAUGCUCUCGUUUGGUUGCAUUGUCCGGUCGAGAGGUGCAAAAAGCAUUCUCUCUCUUCUAAUAGUCUUUUCGUUUAAAUCAAGGGAUUUGCCUUCCCGGUCGAGGUCCAAUAGAGGGUAACGGUCACCUACUAAACAUUAAAUGCUCCAACAACUAGUGAACUGAUCGACCCCAGCUCGACUAGUUGAGGUUACUUUUUGGUUUUCUUGUCUCCCGAGGUUAGAAACCUAUAAAUAGAGAGCUUCACUUCAUUUAUGAGUAAGAGAACACCUAAAUUUAUUUGUUUACCUACUUGUUUUUGCCAUAAAAGCUCUCAUUUCUUUUCUUGGUGUAUUAAAUCUCCAUUUGCAUAUCCUUUAGUGCACCUUUGUGAUUCAUUCUAGCCUUGAGUUGUAUUUAAGCCUUUGUUGAGCUAGGUUGAGAGUUUCAUACUUGUUUAUUGAGUGUUAAAGCCUUCAAGUGAGUUAAAACUUGAAGAGAUUGUGUAAGAGCCCAUUGGAGUCGGAAUCCAAGUGUAAAGGUGAUUAAAAGCUUGGUUGAAGCUUCAAGUUAGUGGAACUCUCACUCGGUUAUGAGCUUGAGAAGAGUGGACAUAGACAAGGCAGUGUCGAACCACUAUAAAAUCUGAGUUUGAUUUCUCUAACCUUAUCUCUUUAUAUUUGCUUCUCUUGUGCUUAAAUUUUUUGUGUUUAAAAAGAAUUUUUAAAAACUCAAUUCACCCCCUUCUUGGGAGUUUUUCUCUUUUAAGAUCAGCUUUUAUUUUCUCAAUUGGUAUCAGAACUAUGCCUCUUGUUUAAGACUUAAUCGUCUAAGAGGAAAUGGCUAAUCCAUCAAGUUCAUCUCACAUUGAAAGUUUUGCAACCAAUAGACUUCUUUUUUUUUUUUUGCGGGAACUGAUUAUCCCUAUUGGAAAACUAAAAUGACUUGGUUUUUACAAUCAAUUGAUUUAGAUGUAUGAGAUGCCAUUGAAGAUGACCUAACUUUUCCUUCAAAACUAGUUGAUGGAGUCAUGGUUCCAAAACCUAAGCAAGAAUGGGAUGAGCGUGAUUGAAGAAAUUUUCAAUUAAAUGCUAAAGUCGUUUAUACUUUGCAAUGCUCUAUGGACAGAAAUGAAUAUAAUAGAAUAUGUCAAUGCAAAUCGGUUAAAGAAAUUUGGAGAUUGCUUGAAAUAACUCAUAAAGGAACAAAUCAAGUUAAAGAGUCAAAAAUCAAUUUACUUGUUCAUAGAUAUGAAUUGUUUUUUAUGAAAGAUAAUGAAACUAUUGUUAAGAUGAUCACUAGGUUCACCAACAUUGUUAAUGGUCUUAAAGCCUUGGGAAAGACCUACAAGGAAUCCGAAAACGUGAUGAAGAUCUUGAGGUCACUUCCAUCAAAGUGGCAUACCAAGGUCACCGCAAUUUAAGAAGCAAAAGACUUGAUCAAGCUACCUUUGGAGGAGUUCAUAGGGUCAUUGAUGACAUAUGAAAUCAAUUUGGCAAAGAAGUAACAAAAAGGUGAAGACAAAAAGAAGAAGAACAUAACUCUCAAAGCUACAACUAAGGAAGAAGAAGUUGAAGAAGAAAAACAAAUUGAAGAAGAUGAAGAUUUAGCCCUCAUCACAAGAAAGUUCAACAAAUUCAUGAGGGGUGAAAGGUUUAGAAGAAGAAGGUUCACUUCUAGAAGAGACUUUUCUAAAAAGGAAUCUUCAUCUAAUGGUGACAAAAAGAGAUGGGAAGAGAAAAGAGACUUGGUGUGUUUCAAGUGCAAGAAACCGGGACACAUUAAAUAUGAUUGUCCUCUCUACAAAAGUGAAGUCAAGAGGAAAAAGAAUAAGGCAAUGAUGGCCACUUAGAGUGAAAGUGAAGAUGAAUCAUCCGAAGAAGAAAAUGAGAAAGAAGUGGCAAACAUGUGUUUCAUGGCAAUAGAUGAACUUGAUGAGGUAAAAUCUAACCUUAGUGAUUAAGAUAUACAUGAUGCAUUUGAAGAAUUGUAUGAGGAUUUUUAAAAACUUAGUUUGAAAAAUAUUUCUCUUAAAAAGAAAGUUCAACAACUUGACAAAGAACUUAGAGAAGUAAAAGAAAAAUUUUCAAAUGUUAAAGUUUCUAAAACUCAUCUUGAAAAAGAAAAUGAGAUUCUAAGAAAGAAAAAUGAAUAGUUGAACUCCUCUCUUUCAAUCUUUUCUUCUAGACAAAAAUCUUUUGAAAUGAUUCUAACUAGCUAAAAAUGUGUUUUUGACAAACAAGGGUUAAGAUUUAAAUCUUCAAAAAAUCAAAAGUAUUUUAAAAACUAUUUUGUAAAGGAAUCCACAAGUGCAAGUCCUUCCACUACUUGCAACUUUUGUGGAAGAGAAUGGCACAUUAGUAGUACGCCCUUUAAGAAAUGGUUCUCAAAAGAAUUUAAAUGCAAAAACUAAAAAAGAUUUGGAUUGAGAAAUCCAAGGUCACUAACCCUCAAGGACCCAAAAAGAUAUAGGUACCUAAAUCAACUUGAGUUUUAUGUUGUAAGGUUCAAAGAAUGAUAAGUGGUUCUUAGAUAAUGGUUGCUCAAGACACAUGACCGGAGAUGAAUCCAAGUUUGCUUUUCUUAAAAAGAAAAAUGGAGGAUAUGUUACCUUUGGAGACAAUGCAAAAGAAAGGAUGAUUGGUCAAGGCAACAUUGGUAAUGGCACAUCCUCUCUCAUUGAAAGUGUUUUAUUAGUAGAUGGUUUCAAACAUAACCUUUUAAGCAUUAGUCAAUUUUGCGACAAAGGUUUUUAAGUGAUUUUUUAAGCAUCUCAUUGCAUCAUCAAGGAUAUUCAAAAUGAUAAAACCAUUUUCAUGGGCCAUAGAUGUGAUAAUGUUUAUGCUAUAAAUAUUUCAAAAUAUGAUGGCCAUGAUAGAUGUUUUUCAAGCAUGCAUGAUCAAAGUUGGUUGUGCCAUAGGAGAUUGAGACAUGCUAACAUAGACCUCAUUUCCCAACUCAACAAAGAUGAACUUGUUAGAGGCCUUCCCAAAAUAAUUUUUUAAAAAGAUAAAGUUUGUGAAGCUUGUCAAGUGGGAAAGUAAAUCAAAAACUCUUUUAAAAACAAAAACUUCAUUUCCACAUCUAGGCCACUUGAGUUGUUGCAUAUGGAUUUAUUUGGUCCCUCUAGGACACCAAGUCUUAGAGGAAAUUCUUAUGCAUAUGCUAUUGUGGACGACUUCUCUAGAUACACAUGAGUCUUGUUUUUUAGUCAAAAGAAUAAAGUUUUUUAUGAGUUUUCAAAGUUUUGCAAUAAGAUUCAAAAUGAAAAAGGUUUUUCAAUUACUUAUAUAAGAAGUGAUCAUGGGAGAGAAUUCGAAAAUAUUGAUUUUGAAGAGUAUUGCAAUGAGCAUGGAAUUGACCACAAUUUUUUGGCUCUUAGAACUCCUCAACAAAAUGGGGUAGUUGAAAGGAAAAAUAGAACUCUUCAAAAAAUGACAAGAACCAUACUAAAUGAAAACAACUUACCAAAAUAUUUUUAGGCCAAAACGGUUAACACUUCUUGUUAUGUUUUAAAUAGAGUAUUAUUGAGGCUCAUACUUAAGAAAACUCCCUAUGAGCUUUGGAAAAACAAAAAACCCAACAUUAGUUAUUCCAAAGUCUUUGGAUGCAAUAUUUUAUAAUAAACACCAAAGACAAUCUUGGAAAAUUUGAUGCAAAAUUGGAUGUUGGAAUUUUCCUUGGUUACUCAACUUCAAGUAAAGCUUUUCGAGUUUUAACAAAAGAACCAUGGUUGUAGAGGAGUCCAUCCAUGUUAUUUUUUAUGAAUCUCCAAGAAAGAGAGAGGAUUGAUGAUGAUUUAGGUUUGAAGACCUCUAUAGGAAGAUUGCAAAUCGAAGAUAGAAGACAACAAGAAGAAAAUGGAGAGAAUCCAAAGAAAGAAGGAUCACCAUUGGCACUACCCCCUCAUCAACAAGCGCAAGGUGAAUCAAGUCAAGAGCUUCCUAAAGAAUGGAAGUUUGUCAUCAAUCACCCACAAGAUCAAAUUAUAGGCAAUCCAUCUAGUGGGGUAAGAACUAGAUCCUCUCUUAGAAAUAUUUGCAAUAAUCUAGCUUUUAUCUCUCAAAUUGAGCCUAAAAAUAUAAAUGAUGUUUUAGAUGAUGAAAAUUGGAUAAUUGCAAUGCAAGAAGAGUUAAAUCCAUUUGAAAGAAGUGGAGUAUGGGAAUUAGUACCAAGACCUUCAAAUCAAAGUGUUAUUGGAACUAGAUGGAUCUUUAGAAAUAAAAUGGAUGAAAAUAGCAUAAUUGUUAGAAAUAAAGCAAGAUUGGUAGCCCAAGGUUUUAAUCAAGAAGAAAUGAUAGAUUAUGAAGAAACCUUUGCCCCCGUAGCUAGGUUGGAAGCCAUUAGGAUGCUACUUGCCUUUGCAUGUUUUAAAGACUUUGUUUUAUAUCAAAUGGAUGUGAAAAGUGCUUUUUUAAAUGGUUUUAUAAAUGAAGAAGUAUAUGUUGAACAACCACCCGGUUUUCAAAGUUUCAACUUUCCUAACCAUGUUUUUAAACUUAAAAAGACACUUUAUGGUUUGAAACAAGCACCUAGAUCAUGGUAUGAAAAAUUGAGUAAAUUUCUUUUGAAAAAAAUGUUUUAAAAUGGGAAAAAUUGACACAACUCUUUUUAUAAAAACCAAAGAAAAUGAUAUGCUCUUAGUUCAAAUAUAUAUUGAUGAUAUCAUUUUUGGUGCUACUAAUGUCUCUCUUUAUGAAGAAUUUUCUAAGUGCAUGCAUAGUGAGUUUGAAAUGAGCAUGAUAGGAGAACUCAACUUCUUCCUUGGACUUCAAAUCAAGCAACUAAAGGAAUGAACCUUCAUCAAUCAAGCAAAGUAUAUAAGAGAUCUUCUCAAAAGGUUCAACAUGGAAGAAGCCAAAACAAUGAAGACUCUAAUGAGCUCAUCCAUUAAGCUUGAUAAGGAUGAGAAAGGUAAAUCCAUUGACUCUAUUAUGUAUAGAGGCAUGAUAGGUUCUUUGCUCUAUUUGACCACUAGUAGACCUUACAUUAUGUAUAGUGUGUGUUUGUGUACUAGAUUUCAAUCUUGUCUUAAAAAAUCUCACUUAAGUGUCGUGAAAAGAAUCCUCAAAUAUUUGAAAGGGACAAUGGACAUAGGCUUAUGGUAUCCUAAGAGUGAUAACUUUGAAUUAAUUGGUUUUUUGGAUGCUGAUUUUGUCAGUUGUAGGGUUGAAAAAUAAAACACUAGUGGCACUUUUCAUUUCUUAAGACACUUACUUGUCUCAUGGCAUAAUAAGAAGCAAAAUUUGGUAGCUUUGUCAACAGCAGAAGCUAAAUACAUAGCAACUGGUUUAUGUUGUGCACAAAUCCUUUGGAUGAAAUAAACACUUAGUGAUUUUGAUUUAUCUUUUGAGCAUAUUCCUAUUAAAUGUGAUAAUAGUAGUGCCAUAAGUAUAUCAAAAAAUCUCGUGCAACACUCUAGGACUAAGCAUAUAGAGAUUAGACAUAAUUUUCUUAGAUAUCAUACACAAAAGGAUGAUAUAACACUUGAAUUUGUAAGCAUAAAAGACCAACUUGCCGAUAUCUUUACAAAACCUCUAAGAACAUUUUGUUGAUAUUAGAGGACAAUUAGGAGUGAUUUCUUUAUGAUCUAAUGUGAUGAAUUCUUGAUGAAUAUACUUUUUGAUUGCAUGAAUUUCAUGUCAUAUAUGCAUCAUAUAGAAAUAUACUUAGAUAAUGGUCAAAUUUCGACCAAAAAUCAAAAUUCCCAUGGCAUUAGGCAUAAAAAUUUUGGAAUUUCAACUGAAAAUGGUAGGAGGAGGAUCACAAAAUGAGAAAGUAUGCAAAAAUUGAAAAAUCAAAACGUUGACCAAGCGGUCAAUCGGACUAGACCGAUCGACUAGUUUGUCGAGAUUUAGGAUUUUUAAGAGACUCCAACGCUUCAAUUUUUGCACCGUUCUCCUCUAUUUCUUCACGGUUUCUCUGAUUUUGUCUUUUAGAGACUAAUUUGAGUGCGUUUUGGAUCAAUUGAAGCAUUUUGGAUUGGAUUUUAGGAAGAUUGAAAGUUAAGGUUUCGGAUUUGGGUCGCCUUCUCUUCCUCUCGCGUGUCACAAUCAGCUUUAGCAUUGUUCUCUUUCCAUUUUCACACACCUAGGGUUUCAGUUGUGAGCAUCUCUCUCUCUUUACCAACCACUACUCCCUUGCUUCUUCCAUAUGGCUCCUAGGCGAGAGUCCGCUACUUCUAGGGCACAAGGCAAGCACCCAACUGAGUCGUCUCAGUCAAAGGCACGUCGAAAAGUGAGAUUUGACAUUGCCUUGUUCAGUUCCAUGGAGGACUACCAACUAUACAAGCAACACUUUGCUUAGAGACGAGUAGUUCCCAAGAGAAAUAUUAAUUUUCCUCAACUUCAGCAUUUCGAAUUUAAGGGUCUAUUUACUAGGAUGGUUGGUUGUCUAUUGUCACAAUUUCGGAGCCGGUUUUCCUGACCUUAGUGCGAGUUUUUUACUCGAGGGCGACUUAUGGCAUGGGUGGCAUGAUCAUUUCUACUGUUGGAGGAGUUGAGAUCUGUCUGGACCCAGAGAGCAUCUGCCAUAUUUUCGAUAUUGCUCUGGUUGGACUCAAAGUAUACAAGUCCAAAAUGUGGCCCAUUGUGCCAGGAUUUGAGCUUAGAGAGGUCAUUCAGAGGAUUUGUGAACUUCCAGACGCCCAGGAGAUGGGCAAACCAUUGCCACACAGUUUGACGGUCAUCAACAGGGUGCUACACCAUAUAUUGUGCUCUAUCUUUCUACCACGAAGUGGACAUUGAGAUGAGGUCUCUUAUUAUGAGGCAUUCCUUAUUGACUCCAUUCUAACGGAGAGACGAAUUCAUCUACUAUGUCAUCAUUCACUAAGCCUCCUCACAGUGACAUACCACCUCAUCAGGCACCUCUUGCUCCUGACCAUGCUCCAUUGAUGGAUUUAUUUACUCAUAUUAGCUCUCUAGGCACUCGCAUGAAGGAGUUUGUUGUAGUUAGUGAUACAUGGUUCUACUCCAUAGAGGAUCGCAUGGAUCAGUAUCAGACUGGCUUCACGUCACAGUUUGAGUAUCUCCAAUAGAGGAUUGAGCAUAUUGAGGAUCACUUGAGCAUGAGAAGAUGAUGGCUUUUCUAUGCUCUGUGUUUCCACCUCCACCUCGUCAACCUUGAUUUCUUAGAGACCCAUUGUUUUCAUUUUGUAAUGUUGCCAAAAGGGGGAGAUAUUUAGGAUCUAGGACUCUAUAGGAGACUUACAUGCAUAUCAUUUUCAUAUCAUUGUUUGGAUCGUACAUAUUGGAUAGUGAUACUUUUUACUUAUAUAUGAUAUGCCUAUAUGUUUCAUGUCUUACAUUGUUUCUUAUUGCAAAUUAUCUCUAACAUGUCUUGAUUAUCUUUUUUUUAACUUCAUAAAUUUUGAUUGUUAACCCAUGAUUGGUUUGAGGGGAAGAUUCUUCUUCUCCUAGAUAACCAAGGUUUGUCAUCAUAAAAAAAUUGGAGAUUGUUAGCCCAAGGGUUCUCCUAAUCAUGUUUUGAUGAUAACAAACCAUGCUUAAGUUACUAAUUGGUUUGAAUUAUAAAGAAUUUCAAGUGUUAAUUUGAAAAUUCAUCAAAGAACCUAAUGGAUGCAAGAUCAAGAUUUUUGGAAGACCUUUAAUCAUAAGAAACAUAUGUAAGAUGAAUGCAUGGGUGCACUUAAGAUUUGCAUAUCAUUUCAUGCAUAUUUGGAAAACACGGUUUAUGCUUUAAAGUUACAUUUCCAUCAAAAUUUGAGAUCCAUCAAAUGAACCUUAGGAAAAAUGUUUUAAAAUUGGCAUAUAAUUUUACCUAAAGACCUUGCCUAAGUGUUAGAAGCAAAAGGACAAAAAAAAUAUAGGUUUUCUGGUCAAAAAUGGUGAACCAGUCAAGGCAUUGUCUAAAUCAGCUCAAUCGGCCAAGGUACCGGUCGAUCGGUUUCCCUUUCCCUGUCGAGAUCUAGUCAAGAGGUACAAAAAUCACAAUCUCUGUCUCUUUCUCUCUUUGUCUAUCUUCCAGUAGUCUUUCCUUCCCGGUCGAGGGAUUUGCCUUCCCGAUUGAGGUCCGAUUGAGAGUAAUAGUCACUUGCCAAAUAUUAAAUGCUCCAACAGUUAGUGAACUGGUCGACCCCCACCUUGCCCAGUUGAGGUUACUUUUUGGUUUUCUUGGCUCCCGAUGUUAGAAACCUAUAAAUAGAGAGUUCCACUUCAUUUAUGAGCAAGAGAACACUUGCAUUUAUUUGUUUACCUACUUGUUCUUGCCUUAAAAGCUCUCAUUUCUUUUCUUGGUGCAUUAAAUCUCCAUUUUGAUAUCCUUUAGUGCACCUUUGUGAUUCAUCUUAGCCUUGAGUUGUAUUUGAGCCCUUUUUUUAGCUAGGUUGAGAGUUUCAUACUUGUUAAUUGAGUGUUAAAGCCUUCAAGUGAGUUGAAACUUGUAGAGAUUAUGUGAGAGUCGAUUGGAGCCGAAAUCCAAGUGUAAAGGUGAUUAGAAGCUUGGUUGAAGCUUCAAGUUAGUGGAAUCCUCACUCAAUUAGGAGCUUGAGGAGAGUGGACGUAGCCAAGGAAGUGUCGAACCACUAUAAAAUUUGAGUUUGAUUUCUCUAACAUUGUCUCUUUAUAUUUGUUUAUCUUGUGCUUAAAUUUAUUGUGUUUAAAAAGAAUUUUUAAAUACCCAAUUCACCCCCCUCUUGGGUGUUUUUCUCUUUUAAAAUUAGCCUUUAUUUUCUCACAAACUAUUGUAGUAUAGUGGUUUUUAGGUGUCAUCCAUUAGGAUGAAUUGUUCUCGGUAAUUAAGGCGUGAAUGAGAGGAGAAUUAAUGAUUGUGAUUAAGUAAAAUUGAUUUGAAAAUUCAUGGUGAAAAAUCAAUUUAACAAUGGUUUCUAAUUGAGAAAAACAAUGAAAUGUGAAAUAAAAUAAAAUUAAUAGGAAAUGAAAUUCUCGAAGUUAGAAUUUUCUAAAAAACAAAUUCCAUGGUGAAUGGAUGUUGAGAUCUAAUUUUCAUCAAGUUAGAUUGAAAACCGAAAUUUUCAUAUAAACUGAUUUUUUAUUUAGUUUUAGGUCUAGAUUUAAUUUCCCUUAAAAUUAGGUUAUUUAAUCCAAGAAAUCAAUUCAAAUCAUAUAUUCAAUUCAUCUUAAAUUAUCUUCCAAUUAUUCACACAAUGCAACUAUUCAAUCUCAUCAAAUCUAGCUUUUAAGAAUUUAAUGAAUCUACCUAGUUUGCAUUGUAAUAGUCAUCCAUGACAAUUUGAAGAGAAAAAUAAUUCAAUUAAUCAAUCACUUGGAUCAAAUUACCUUUGCAAUUAAAGUUCAUUUCUCUAAUUCACCACAGAUUUUGUCUCUAGAUCCUCCUUUCUCAAAGAAAAAUGAGAUUUAGCCACACAUGAUUGGAGAUUUGGUCUCAUAAGGCAUGUUUAGCUAGUGAUAAAAUGAGAGAAAAUAAAGAAAAAUAGAGAAUUCGAUUAAGAAAGAAAAUCUAAAAAAUUCUACAAUUAGAAAUGUCCAAAAAGCUUUUUCAUGAGAAAAUCAAGUUUCUAUUUAUAGGCCAAGGUCAAGUGGACACUUGACAUCAUCUAAGAGGUCUUCCGGAAGCUUCUUCAUCAAGAAAUCUGGAGUUUAAUAAUAAAAUGGUCAUUUCACAAGAGCUCAAACAAUUUCGCAUGAUUAUGUGAAAUAAAAAAUGCAACAACAGCAAUUUACAUCUUCUUGGAGCAUUUCGCAUGACUGUGUGAAAUUUUCACAUGAUCAUGUGGAAUCGACUUGACAACUCUCAUUUAGCCUACAACAUAAUUCCACCUUUUGGUCCAUUUUUCAUAGUCAUGCGAAAUGGAAAUAUUUGAUUUUUAAGUUUUCUUUUGUCAUUUCUUUCAUUUCCUUCUCUUGAUUCCACUUCAACUACCUCCGAAUCCUGGUCCAAACCAAUUGCAUUACUUCUUUCAUUAUGCAUUUGGAUCAUCAUCAACAUUAUUUGUUCUCUUCAAUUUGAUUCAUCUCUUUUGUCACCAAUUUAUCAAAAUCAUACCUUGAAAUGACUCCAAAACUUCAUAAAACUUGUUAGUAACUCUUGCAAGGGCAACAACAUAUUAAUUAAGUGUUUUAGGCAUAGUUACUACUCAAAAGAUGCGAAACUCAUGAUAAUUAUUAUAUAAAAUAUGCUCUUUUUGAGUAGUAAUCAACUUUCUUGCAUAAGCAGACCUUUUAGGGUGGAGUACUAAAGACCAAUAUGCUUGUCCUUGUUGUAAUAAAGAAACUUGCUCUUAUUGAUUGCACCAUGGGAGAAAAUUUUGCUACAUGAGUUAUCAUCAAUUUCUUCCCACCAAUCAUAGAUUUAGACGUGACAAGAGGCCUCUUAAUGGCAAGGAGGAACUGACACUCACACUUAUACAAUUAUCGGGCAUUGAUGUGUUGCAACAAUUAGAAUAACUUACACCAAUUAUGUUGGGGAAGUCACAAAAGGCAAACAUGAAAACUAAAAGGAAAAAAGAAAAAUGUUACAUAUCACCACAACUGGAAAGAAAAAAGUAUUUACUUUCAUUUGCCAUAUUGGAAAGCACUUAUUUUACAUCAUAAUAAUUUAGACAUAAUGCAUAUUGAGAAAAAUGUGUGACAAUAUAAUUGAGACAUUGUUCAGUAUUGACGAAGAAACAAGGACAACCUAAAUAGUCAUCUCGAUUUACAAGCUCUAACUAUUAGAAAUGAGAUUCACCCAAUAGAAAGCAGGACCAAAUUUAUUUUGCUUGCAACAUGCUACUCACUCACCCCAAAUGAGAUUAAGGAAUUUUGCAAGUUUUUGAAAUCAAUAAAGGUCCCCAAUGGCUAUUCUUUCAAUAUCUCUCGUUAUGUGCAACUCAAUGAAAGGAAGAUAUAUGAGCUCAAAUUGUAUGAUUGUCAUGUCCUAAUGCAACAACUUCUCUCACUUGUAGUUCGUGGAGUUCUACAUAAGAAUGUUUGUGGAGUUAUCAUAGAAUUGCGUAAUUUUUUCAAGCAAUUGUGCUCAAAGGUGUUAGAAACAAAUCACUUACACCAACUUGAGAACAAUAUUAUUGUCAUACUAUGUAAAAUGGAGCAAAUAUUUCUUCCAUCAUUCUUUGAUAUUAUGGUGCAUUUACUUGUGCAUCUAGUAAGGCAAAGGUUGCAAGACUUGUGCAAUAUUGUUGGAUGUACCUAAUUGAACGAUAUUGUUAUAAUUUCAUAUGAAUCAUUUAAUUUUAUUUUAUAUUAUGUUCAGUUCAUUAACAUGUACAUUGGUCUACAUAUGGAUGAUGAUAGGUACCUAAGCACUUUAAAGUCAUAUGUGCGUAAUAGAACUUUUCUAGAAGGUUCUAUUGUAGAAAGGUACCUUGCAAAAGAAUGUACAACAUUUUAUUCUAGGUACUUGAAUGAUGUGGAAAUAAAGUAUAAUCACAAUGAUAGAAACUUUGUUGGUUUCAACACUAGAGGAGAUGAAAGGGGUUAUCUUUAAACAUAUUGGACAUGCAUUGGGAAAGCCCAUAUUUCAUUAACUUAGUUCAAAAGAGUGGUCACAAGCACAUUUAUAUGUGUUGACAAAUUGCGAAGAUGUCAUACCAUUCAUUGAGUAAAAAAUUUAUUUGAAUUUUAAUUAAAGCUCUAGUUUAUAUCCUUAAUCAAUGUUUUUUAAAUUCACAAGGAGCACAAGCAAACCAUCAAGGCUAGACCACAUAUACGUGUUUGAGACGUAGAUUUAAUUCAUAACAAGGAAUUUAUCAAGUGGUUUGAAAGACAUGUAAGUAUAUUCCUUAUUAUAAGGGAUUUAUUUCACAUUAUGUUUAUAUUGAAUCCAAACCUAUUAUUGAAUUGUAGGUUGAACAAUUACAUAAUGAAGGUCAUAUAUCUGAACACCUUCUCACAUUAUCAUGUGUUCCAAAUUCAUUAGUUACAUGCUUCAAAUGAUAUAUUGUCAAUGGAUUUAGAUCCCACAUUAAAGAACGUGAUAAAAAAGUUUUUAAAAAAAGACUCAGAAUAAUGGAAUUGUUGUAGUUGCAAAAACGUCAAGCUUUACAAGUGCAUGUGAUAUGAGUCCAAUUAUUAGUGAUGCUCUCUACUAUGGUGUUCUAACUAAAGUUGUUGAGUUACAUUAUCUUGGUGAAAAUAAGGUUGUUUUAUUCGAGUUUGAUUGGUGGGAUGUUACAAAUAUUGGAAAAUUGAUAAAAGAUGAUGAGUACAAUUACACAUUUGUUAACUUUGCAUGAAUUCUAACCACGAACGAACGAUUUGUACUUGCAUCUCCAGCAAAGUAAGUGUUCUAUGUGAAGAAUGCGAAUGAAUCAGAUUGGCAUACUAUCAUGGAGAUGCAACCUCAAGACCUCUAUAAGAUGAACGGGAUAGGAUCCAAUGGUGAUUUUGAACCAUUUCAACAAAGUGAACUACAUGAUCACUAAUAUAUCUCAGAUUUAGUUGAUGAAGAUAUAAUCAAGUGGAACAAAAGUGAUGUUUUAGGACUAAUCAUCCUAAAAAAUAUUGUAGUUUCUUAAAAAAAAAAUGAAAAUGAAGAAGAUAAUUGAACCUUUGUCAUACUUUAAAAAGCAACUAUGCAUUGUUCAUUUUGUAUGUUUUGGUUUUCUUCAUUUAAUUUCCUGAUUUUUGUGAUUCAAUGUCAUAUUAUUGAUCUUGAAAUAUUUUUCUAAUUUUUCAUUCUACGAUGGUUUCAACAAGGAUGACAUCAAGUCAAAAAAGGAAAUGUGGUCCCACACACAAUAUUGCAUUACAGGGAUUAAGGUCAGGGAAGAAGGUAAAAGUUGCAUUUAAUGAGUACAAUCAAUUGGUUAAACAGAAAAAUGGAAAACACUUAUCGAGCUACAUAGGGACACUUGUAUCUAACCAACACAAUGUACCUCUCCAAGCUAGUGAUUGGAAAAAUGUUCCAAAUGAUGCAAAAGAGAAAGUAUGGCCUUUGUUUUGGUAUGUUGUAUUUCUCACUAUAUGAUGUCAUUUCACUGUUAUUCUAUUUUGUGACUAACGUUUGAAUCAUAUGUAAGAAAAAUUUGAAGUAGAUAAAGACUGAAAAGAUUACAUGUUGGGUAUAGCCUCAAAUAAAUAUAGAAGCUAUAAAAAUAUGAUGAAUGCAAAAUACUAUGACCCUUGGCAUAAGGAUGCAUGAGGAGAGGUUAAUACAUAAAUCACCAUUUGUCUCUGAUGUUGAUUGGAAGUGGCUUGUCUCUGAUGCAUAAACCAAAUCCCCCACUGAAUGUUUGAUAUUUGAUAGCAGGAAAAACACACCCGCAGCUAUACACCUCCAUCAUUCAGAUAAUUAUAGUGGGGGAGAUGAUUCAUGGUUGCCCUUAUACCCUUUAUUUGCACCAUCUAUUGAGAUUCUUUAUCAUGGCCAGGUUUUACUGCAGCAAUAAGAUAUGGUGGCAACAAUUUUAUCUAUAGGUGCGGUUCCAGACCGCCUCCAUAGGUGCGGUUCCUGACUGCCUCCAUAGGUGCCUCUUCUUGUAAUGUUUGUUCUGGGAAUUACACUUGAAAGCCUUAUCGUGAUAAGGGAUUACAAACACUAGUUCAGAGGACAGCCAUGUUAAACUUCCACUAUGUUUGUGUCACAUUAUCAGCAGCCUAGUGUUUAUUGGUCAUGCUAUCUGCAACUAAUAUAACCCGGUGAACUUCAAUCUAAAUUCUGAAAGUACUCAUGUGACAGAUGGUGCCUUUCAGCAGAUAUCAUCAAUUUAAAAGUAGUGUGUGUGCCUAUAGGUGGGAAGGCCUUGGCAAAUGUUCAGUAUUCCGGUAAUUCAAGAAGGAUAUAUCUAAAAUAGAUUUUCUUCUUGCCCAUUUCAAUAGUUAAAAUUUGAGAAGAUUGUGUCCACAUCACACAAAUAUUAUUGGUCCUUCUGUUGCAAUUUACCUCUGAACAUGUCUUCCAAUUCCCACGGUCCUGUUACUCCAGGAAAACUAUUUCGGUCAUAUUGAAAAAAAAAAUAUUAAAGAAGGUACACAUGCUUUUAAGUGGACUGGGGCAUUCAUAUCAGGUGGUCUGUAUCCACAUAUGCCACUUCGUGAAAGGUGGAACAGCCUAAUCACUAGGCUAUUUAGUGUGGCCCAGCCACGUUAAUCAAGCACAAGUCUUCAUACUUAAAGUCAAAUGGUGUCUUUAGUCUCAUUACACAUCGCUAUUUGAAGAUUAACUCAUCACUAGUGUAAUGCGAUUAAGACAGUCCUAACUCAAUAUUUGUUCUAGUUUUGGAUGCAAAUGCUUGCUGGUUUCAUCAUUGGAUGGGAUAAAGGUGCAAUCAGGACUAUGAAUACGUGCAGUAAUACUUCAUUCUCUUUUUUCUCAAUGAGACUUCUUGGCACAAUUUUGCUGCUCAGCAACCUACCUUUCCAUGGAAAAUCAGUUGUGACUGAUAGUAAUGGAUAUAUUCUAGAAAGCUAAACAUAGAUAGCAUUCAAUAUUAUCGAUAUAACAUUAACAGCGUAUGUCUCAAUGCUCAUCAGCUACAAGCAAUGGACAAACACUUUGAGUAACUCACAGCAGUCAAAAUUCCUAAACAGGACAGACGUGACAGAUCUAUAUAUAGAACACUGCAUAUGAGUCACAGGAAAAGAUAAUACGGGUACAUAGAAGCUCUUAUUUUACAUAUUACUCAUACUGAUCAAAGUCGCUCAGUUGGGAUGGAUGGGAGAAGGAGGUUUGAGGGGUGGCUUGUGCGGGGAAGUUGGCAGCUUCUUUCCGGGAGCUGGUUGCUUCUUUGCUGGAGUUGAAGGAGGCUUAAUCUUCCGAGGUGGCUUGUAUGAGUCUUCAGCAUUCUCAGCAGGAGGGUGACCAGGGUUGUGACCAUAAUGUGGUGGCUUCUCUCCCUUAGGUGGUUUGCCAACUGGGGUUGGUGGCUUGUUUUCUGGGAGUGGCUUCUCUCCCUUGGGUGGUUUGCCAACUGGGGUUGGUGGCUUGUGUUCUGGGAGUGGCUUCUCCCCCUUGGGAGGUUUUUCGAAUGGGGUGGGUUUGUGUCCUGGUGGUGGCUUCUCUCCCUUGGGAGGUUUACCAAUUGGGGUCGGUGGCUUGUGUUCUGGGAGGGGCUUCUCUCCCUGGGGAGGUUUAGUGGGUGGCUUGUGUUCUGGAGGUGGCUUCUCCACCGGAGGCUUAUGCUCUGGUGGUGGCUUCUCGAAGGGGGGAUGCUCAGGGUAAUCACCAAGUGAGGGGGUGGUGAGAACCACCAUGCCAAGCAACAACACUAGCAAGUAUGUAGUAGACAUCUUUGGGUUUGGACUCAGACAGUGCAAAACUACGAGAAAUCGCUAGCCCUUUAUAGCGGCUCGGACCUAAUACUGACAUAAUAUAAAAUAAAUAUUAUAUUUUAUCAAGAGAGAACAGAGUGUAAUUUUAUCAUUAAUACCGAUCGAGGCCAAAGAAAGAAGACCCAUAAUCCAUUUCCCACAAGCAUACACAAUGCAGCUGUAAUUUUAUCAUUUACUUUUAUCCCUUGGACCACUGCAUUUUUGUUGAGAGACACAAUAACACAUUUUUAUCUGUCAUUCAACAUUUACAGUAAAGAGAGGGCACAAAACGCAAUUAGAUAAAUUAUGUUUUGCCUGCUAAAAAGAGGCAAAUAACUUUAUUUGCAACAUAAUUAUUUUGGUUUCUAGUGACCCCGGGGCCUUUCGGUUGGUUUGGGAUCGGAAAAUGAACAUCAUAGGGGGGGUUGUGCCCUUAUGGGCAUAUAUAUCUGAUAGCUUCAACUGGCCUUGUUCCUAGAAAGAAAUUGCCAAAGAUAUAAACUUAUUCCAGGCUGAAAGUAGAUGAGAGUCAUAAUGAACAUCAACCUUUGUUCAGUUUGAUUCAAUGCCCCCAUAGUGUUCAUUUCACAGAUCUGAAUGAUUAUAUCCGUUGAAUACAUAAAUUAAUGAAGACAAAUAUGAAACCCAAGAUACAUCUCUGCAUAACAACCCCAACCCUGGUUGCUAUGUUUCCCUUCUUCUAUUCACAUGAGGAUACUGGUUAUAAUUGUCAAACUUGCAACAAGCCCUUUGACACCUAACGUCAAUGGACGAAUUAAAAGUCUCCUUCAAACGUCUAUUUCACAGCAUGAAGCUUAUAAAGGAUGCUGACAACCUUCAGAGUUAGCGACAAAAGAUAAUUAUCAAGGAGAGAUAGUUCCAUGAGAAUUCCAAGGAGUCUGAAUCAAAGACAAAUUGCUCACUCAAGGGUUCUUAUUUUCUUUUAGGUACAAAUCUCUUGAGUGUUGUUAAAGAAACACGUCACUGUCAUUUUGAUUUGCAUUUAACAUUUCACUUUUGUUCUGGAAGGUUUGUUCCGGAAACAUAUCAAAUGAGCAUCAUUUUCUUCUUCGGUGACACAUGGUCGCGAGUACGUGGGUCCAUUUUCAUGCCACUUAGUUGAAAAGUUGGAAAGAAAAAACAUGCCAACAAGAAGAUAGUGAGAGAAGGGGCACUUCAAGCCUUUAACAUGAACAAACAGUAAAUAAAAGAUGUUUCUCCACUCAUAAAAGUGUGUUAGAUAGCAAUAUAACGAAUCACAUCCAAAAUCUUUACUAGGCUCAAACAUAAAGAAGACUCAUUUUUAAGAAAAGAUAAAAAUGGCAUUGUCUGAUAGUAUCCAAUACACGAGAUGGCACUUAAUUUGUACAAGAUCUGUCAAUGCUGACGCACAUUUUCUGAUUAAAAAAAAACUGAUCAGUCAAAAGCAAUGAAGAGAAGUGAUGACAAUGAAUGAUGCUUCCAAUAUUUUCACCCCUUAUAGUGUUCUUCAUGAUUCAGAUAUAUAAUUGGAAAUAGAACAACCCUAUGCCAUACAUUCGUCUAAGUAUGGUGUCUAAUUUUUUGUGUCAGCGGUUGCGAAUGGAGCGUGCAAAAGUCCAAAUUGGCGUCUCUCCAUUUCCACAUAGGAAGGUGACCUUUAUUGACAAAUACCCAAUAUUUGUAGACAUUCCUUAAAUAUCAUAACUUCUUGUUGAUUUGAAAAUCAUUUUUCAACUACCAUGUUUUAAUAAAUAUUUUUUAAAAUGUAUUUUUAUCAAAGUCCACCAUGAUGGAUAAUAUUCACCAUGCAAUAAUUAAUAAAGUACAAACUAAGCGAAAUGAAAAGCAUUUUCUUUGCUUUGAGUUGAUUUUGGUUGCAUUGAGUUGAUUUUGGUUUCAUGGUUUUUUCAACUCUUAUUUUGAUUGGAAGAUGUCAAGAAAAGAAAACAUAAAGAAAAAUUAAAAGGGAAAAAAGAAGAAAAAUAAAAAAAAAUAGAUUUAAAAGUUAAUAAAUUAUUUUUUAUAUUUAUUUUAAUUCAUUUCACUUAUUUUUCUUUUACUAUAUAAAAUUUAAAUAAUUUAAAUUUUAUAAUUAAUUUAAUUACAUUUCAUUUUCUUCUAUAUUUAAAUAUUGGAAAAAUAUUUUACUUAAUAUUUUUUUCUUUAAUUUCUUUGGCAUUUUGGGAACCAAACUUAGCCUUUAAAAUAAAAAACAAAAAAAAAAUGAAAAUAAGGAGGGAAAAGUGAGAAAAGAUAAAAACAAUAUGUAAAGGAUUUGAAAAGUAUUAGUUUGUAAUUACUAUUUGGAUUUCAAUAGUAUUUUAUUUGUCUUUCUAUAUUUCAUGUAAGAGAGAAUUUAAGAUAUUCCCCAAGGCAAAGCAUUAGUUACCUGCAAUCAGUGGUGAUAAGGCUCCAAGCCAAUUUUGGGCCCCAUAUCUUAAGACAGUACAAUUUCCAUUUCAACAUUUCUGAUUUCUCAGAUGUUUCACAUACCACAGAAGAACAUUGUUUGUGAAAAUAUGCAUUUAUGUUGGAUUUUGUAUGCUGUGGGGACUGGGGCAAGGAUCAUAUGGAAGAGUGGUUGACUUUUUCUGUACUUUAACGGUUGAAAUAGGAUAAGCACGGGCAUUUGUGAGGCUUAAUUGAUUUUGAAGCCUGAAAUUGCGUUUCUGUCAUUUUGUCAAAAAAAUGGCAGAUUCCAUACUCAUAUGUUUGGCCUGUGGCCAUGUACAGAUGCCAUUUAGUGACCAGUUUGUAACUGUCAAUCGUUGCGUUUUGACUCUGCCUCAACAACAUCUGCCAUUGACGGGUUUUCAUACUUGCAAAUCAAAUAGUCUUUCGUCCCAUCAGGAAUUUCGGUUUAAAUAUUAUUAAGCAUACGUUUGGCUGACAAUCAUUAUCCAGUUCAUGAUUUGGUUUCUUACCCUUAAUCAAUGGUUUCUAAGUGAAUAUAUGUAGAAGGAAAUCCGAAGUGUAGACAGUAGUAUCGAUAACUCUCAAUAUUCUCUAUAUAAUAGAAUAAACAGCGUCAUAGUGAUCGUCGCCUACAAGCAAGGUACAAAUACCAAAACGAGUGACUCACAUAGACAUCUCCCAACAAGAUGUAGUAGUGACUGACACAUGGACACAAUUAACUCGUAGAAAAGGAUAAGACCAUUGCACAGCAGCUCUUAUUUUACAUACUACUUAUGCUAACCAAAGUCAAUUAGUUGGGAUGGGUGGGAGAUGGAGGUUUGUGCGGUGGCUUGUGGGGCGGAGUUGAUGGCUUCUUUCCAGGAGCUUCUGGCUUUUUCAUCGGAGCUGAAGGAGGCUCAAUCUUAUGAGGCGGCUUGUAUGAGUCUUCUUUACUCUCGACAGGAGGGUGGCCAGGGUUGUGAUCAUAAUGUGGUGGCUUCUCUCCCUUAGGUGGCUUGCCAACUGGGGUUGGUGGCUUGUGUUCAGGAAGUGGUUUCUCUCCCAUGGGAGGUUUAGCAAUUGGGGUUGGUGGCUUGUGUUCUGGGAGUGGCUUCUCUCCCUUGGGAGGUUUAGUAGGUGACUUGUGUUCUGGAGGUGGCUUCUCCACCGGAGGCUUGUGCUCCGGUGGUGGCUUCUUGGUUGGAGGGGGCUUGGGGUAAUCAGCAAGAGAUGGGGUGGUGAGAACCACCAGUCCAAGGAACAACACUAGCAAGUAUGUGGGAGACAUUUUUGAGUUUGGGCUGAUCAGAUGAUGCAAAACUAAAGCAUUACGUGACCUUUUAUAGCAUGUAGCUCCCAAUACCCACUAAGUAUUGUGGGGUCCAUUUGUGCCCUACGGGGUUGAAAACUUAGACAAUUGGGCAAGGACCCACCUGACUAUGGAGGACUAGUGAGGUGUGAUCAUAGCUUUAGGAUUUUUCUUCCUCUGCAGCCGUCGUGCCGUUGGCAUGAUUUUCUUAAUCUUAAAUAAAGGCAUAGUUAUAGAGUUGUUUAAUCUCUAAAUGGGAUUUUAUAUAUAUCUUCAGAUAGCCAUUAAUAUAUUUGAUGAAGAAAGAAAGACAAGUGCAUACAACAUGUAUACGACUAGCUUUCAUGGAGUUCAUUUAUGAUCAGUUUUCCUGUACAUGUAAACCAGGAUCAUAUAUAUGUUUCUGUUCCACAACUAUUUUGGAAUCUUGUUUAUCAGUUUUUAUCAUUAUAAUGUCACAUAGGCUGCCAACUUGGGCGCUAAAAGAACCAGUUGGGCUAGUUCGUUUCAGAAUUUCAAUGUGGAUUCAGGAAUUGUUUUGUAAGAUAUGCGAAAUAGUAGAGGGAUGAAUAGUGUUUCAUUAAUAAAAGUGUCCUGUAAAUUAGAAGGUGUCAUAGAAACUAUAAUCAAUAAAUAACUUUUUUUCCCCACGGGUGGUGUUUCUUGUGGGGAUCAGUGACUGGUUUAGGUUCACCCAAAAUGAGUUCAGACUAAAAUUGGUUUGAGUCAAUGCCGUGUCUCUUUUUUCCAGAAAUCAACUAUUUUAUGCAUUGAAUAAAUCAUACAAAGAAAAUAUGAACGCCCGCAAAACCUAAACCCUGGUUGCUAACUUUCUAUGUUUCAGUUCUAUUCACGCAAGAAUAUUAGUUUAAGUUUGGGAAAAAUGGCAACUUACCUAGUGAUUACUUGGUUUUGGUUUGCGACUAUUUACGCAACCAACCAUGAGUUUGACUUUAACGUCAUGGGUUGAAGCCUCCUACAGGAAGGGAGAAAGCUCCACAGCUAGCUCCAAAAGAGAAUUAUCACAUUGAUAGCUCCAGAGAUUCCCAAGGGGACUGAAUCAAAGACAAGUUCCUCACUUUUUCUUCUUUUGAGGCCAAAUAUGAACCAAGGAUCACACAACCUCAUUCAACUUCAUAAGUUUGAUUUCAUGCAGUUGAACACUGGGUGAAGGCCAUGACAAGAAUUGAUUCAAAAAUUCUAUCACUCUUUUAAGUAAUGGAAGAUUAUUAUCUCUGAUUGGCAUCACAACAGCACAUGCUCCUAGAUCUUUCUAGACACUCCAUGCAAUGAAAGCACAAUGGAUCUUGUAACGAUAGAAACUAAGCCAUGCUACAGUACUAGAUGAUGAGGUAAAACUAGUAGACACGGGUGGCAGCCUAUAUGGGAGGGACACAAGUCUAAUUGAUUUGCAUUUCAGCAUUAUAGAUAGGUAUGUUUUGGAAGAUUUGUUCUGGAAAUACCGCACCAAGUAGGAUUCUUUUUCUCUUUAGUGGGUCCACUUGCAUGCCAAUUAACGAGUUGAAAAGUAUGAGCACCUACCUCGUGCUCGUGGAACCGAAGGUCAGUGAAGUGGGGCUCCUUUUGGCCUCGUGUAAACUUGAUUCAGAAGUGAAGUUAAUAGUCUUCCAUUCAGAUGGAUACAUGGGAAUUUUUCUCUUUUAUUUAUUUAUUUAUUUUUUUUUUGUGUGUGUAUGUCAAAGGAUAAUGAAUGAAGCGCGUUAGCUUGUUUUCUGACUGGAACCGCAGAUGUCCAAAUUGGAGUUCCUUCAUUUCUUACUUAGGAUUGUUACAUGUAUAAACAAGGUAUAAGAAAUAUGCCAACGUGUCUUGAGGAGUUAUUGAUUAGAAAUAACAAGUCACCCGACUGUAGAGUUCCAAGAUUUGAAUCUUCAGACCCUAUAGCAGCCUCUGGGGUACGUGGCAUCCUAUAGCAUAUUAAUGAAGGCUUUUUCGAUUUAGACUUCACAAUACCAAUUAAUAUGUAUGCACAAAAUGGAGAUGACCCCAAAAAAAACAGAAUCGCCAUAGUUUAUGAGGUUAAGGUGAUUCUCCACUUAAUAUCUACAUUAGCUAAUUAUGUAAAUCAAAUGAACUUCUAUUUUUCCUUUUUUUUUUUGGUUUAUGUCAAAUAGUAGCCCAUAAUUAACCCAACCAUUAGCCUGUUUGAAUUGAUUUCACAUGCACAAUGUUGUAGUAGUUCAUAUUUUGAAUUUUAUUUUUACAAAGGUAGUUAAGGAAAAUGAAGUAUAAUAAUUAUAAAAGCAGACUAUAUACACUACAAUAAUUGUUAGAAUGGUAUCUCAAAUUCUAAUUUAAAAUAUUAUUUUUUGUAAAAGAAAUAUUAUAUAGAAUAUUUCCUAAUUUUAUAAAUGAUUAUAAUUAGAUCUUUAUAAAAUAAGGAAAGUUGGUAAGAAUAUCUUUAUAAAUAUUUUAGGUCAUGAGAGAAAGAAAUGGGAUAAAAAUGUGAUGAAGAGGUGAAAUAAGAGAGUUGAUUAGGAUAUAGAUGUGAAGAAGAAAGGGAUUCAAUAUAUAUAUAUCUUUCAAUUACCACAUUAAAACCCUGUGAACCUUUUAUAUGGUUUACUUUAUUUUUAUAUUCCUCCUUUAAUAUAUUUACAUUAAUGCUUCCAUUGGCACAACAAUAACGAAUUACAAAUACAAGCAACAAGUCCCAUGUUUUAUUACCAAAAGCAGGUAAAAUCCACCUAAUAUAUUACAAUAUAUUCAUCCAAUAUUUUAGACCAAUUCUUCACCAUAAAUAUCAUAAUGUGGCUUUUGUUCUUUCUUAAAUUUAAAUUGAAUUGUCUUAUAUCAAUUUGUUUGUGAUUUUUUCAUUAACUUCACUUUCAUUUGGUUAUCUUUGGUUUUUGAAAAGUAUUAAGGAAUUAAUUAACAAAAUAAUGUUAAGAAAAAUAAUUUUCUCUCUUUUGAUUUUGAUUUUGUAGUAGAAAAAUAUAAUUAAAAUUAUUUAAAAAGUAUGUAAUUUUAAAUUAUUUAAUAUUUAGAUAAAAAAAAUAAGUCUAAUGAGUUUAAAAUAACAUAUAAAAAUAAUUUAUUUAUUUUAAAUUUAUUUUUUAUUUUCCAUUAUGUUCUCUUUCUCUUUUACUUUUUCAUAUUUUUUCUUACGAAGAAUCAAACACAACCUCAUAUUAUAUGUCAAGUGUUUGUCUAUAUUUGAGCAAUGUUAGAUACGGCCAUGGAUUCAUCAAACUAAACUGAUUUUAAUAGAUACUUCACAAAUUGAUUUAUACACUAAAUCAUUGGAUAGCAAUGAUGCAUUGGAAUUAAACGUAGGAUGAAGCUCGAAGAACACUGUUUGUGUAACAACAUAUUUAUGAAAUUAUGCAAAGGAUGAGCUUCGGGGUAGUAGUACAAGGUCAUUAAUGGAGAGCCGUGUUAAACCUUGAUUGUGAUUGGAUUCCGUUAUCAGCAACAGCAACCUUGUUUGUAACCUUGAAAGUCAUUCUGUCCACAUCGAAACUCCAAUUUGACGUUUGUAAUUACCAUUCCUGGAGUGUUCCUUGAUUGAAAUUUAAAUAAUAAUUGCGGCCCACAAGGAAUAUUUUCGAUUCUGUGGGAAUUUGACAAGGUUUGUUAGAGAAGACUGGUGACAUGUUGACUUCAAUGGUUCAAAUAGGAGACGUAUGUGGAUUUGGGGGGUUUAAUUGAAACUGAGUCCCUAUGGCUUUUUAAUAUUUGCAUUGAGCAGUCUCCAUGUGACUUCCUAAUUCCCACCAACCCUCCUGUCCAUGCUGUGAAACUAAAUUGUAAUUUAUCAGCCUUUGUCAAUGGUUUCUAAAUUAAAGAUAUAGACCAUGCAUGUACUUUAAUAAAAGCAAAUCUAAAGUGUAGAUAGCAGCAAUGGUGACACCCAAUAUUCUCCAUAAAAUAGAAUUAGAAUAAGCAGUGUUACAUUGUUCAUGAUCACCUACAAGCAUACAAGAACUUCCAUGAAUAACUCAUAGCAAUUGCCAACAGGGCGUCGUAGAGACUCAUACAUAGAACACUAUCCACCCAGAGGAAAGGACAAGACCAGUGCGCUGCAGCUCUUAUUUUUCACAUGUAUACCACCACUCGUAAUAACCAAAUUCACUCAGUUGGGAUAGGUGGGAGAUGGUGGUUUGUGGGGUGGCUUGUGGGGAGGAGUUGGAGGAGGCUUUAUUUUCUGAGGCGGCUUGUAUGAGUGUGCAGGAGGAUGCCCGGGAGUGUGACCAUAAUGUGGUGGCUUCUCUCCCGUAGGUGGUUUGCCAAAUGGGCUUGGUGGCUUCUCUCCCUUAGGAGGUUUACCAAUUGGGGUUGGUGGCUUGUGUUCUGGGAGUGGUUUCUCUCCCUUGGUAGGUUUGCCAAUUGGGGUUGGCGGCUUAUGUUCUGGGAGUGGCUUCUCUCCCUUGGGAGGUUUGCUAAUUGGGGUUGGCGGCUUAUGUUCUGGGGGCGGCUUCUCUCCCUUGGGAGGUUUGCCAAUUGGAGUUGGCGGCUUAUGUUCUGGGAGUGGCUUUUCUCCCUUGGGAGGCUUGCCAAUUGGGGUUGGCGGCUUAUGUUCUGGGGGUGGCUUCUCUCCUUUAGGAGGUUUGCCAAUUGGAGUCGGCGGCUUAUGUUCUGGAAGUGGCUUUUUUCCCUUGGGAGGUUUGCCAAUUGGGGUUGGCGGCUUAUGUUCUGGGGGUGGCUUCUCUCCCUUGGGAGGUUUGCCAAUUGGAGUCGGCGGCUUAUGUUCUGGGAGUGGCUUCUCUCCCUUGGGAGGUUUUGUUGGUGGCUUGUGUUCUGGAGAUGGCUUCUCCCCUGGAGGCUUGUGCUCCGGAGGUGGCUUCUGAAAUGGCGGGGGCUUGGGGUAAUGAGCAAGAGAUGGAGUACUGGUGAGAACCACCAUUCCAAGCAACAAUACUAGCAAGCAUGUGGGAGACAUCUUUGAGUAGUUGUAGCUAAGAUGGCGCAACACUGUAGGCAUUGGGUGGCCUUUUAUAAAGGGCUGGACCCAACAGCCAUAUGACACGUGUCAUGAUGACAAAUGAAGUUGAGGGGAUCCAGAUGGGUCCUACUGAGUCGAAAACUUGCACUAAUUGAUCUGGUGAGAUGACUAUUUCUGUCCUUUUGCCCUUCUCGGCCACCCUGUGCUGUUUUCCUUUUGCACGAUUUUCGUUGCCAAACAAGCAAAUAAUAUUUCGCCAAGAAAGAGGAGAGUGAAUGUGGAAUGCAUCAAGUCCCAUCAAGGAUGGCAGAGAAGAAAUAGAAGAUUGCCCAACUGUGAUAAACAUAGCAUACACGUAGCACCAGGAACUUCAUUUACUUCCAUCUAAUGGAACAUAACAAUCUUCUAAAGUUUUUGCAUGAUUUUGUUAUAUGUCUCUUAGCCUAAAGUUGGAAAUGCGCAACAAAUUUUGUCACUUCUCUAUUUCCCACUGAUGAUGUUAAUUAGCCUUCAUAGAUAUCAUCCUUUCUACAAAGUGCUUCAUUUGUGUGUUAUUGUAAAGUGUAAGAAAAGUAAUUGAACAUGUUCUUUUUCCUUUCAUAGAUGACUUUUGAUGUGCAUUUUAAAAGCAGCGCUGUGAGUCGGUGACCUUGAUUCACACGGAAACUAAGGCUCCUAUAGGACCCACUUUUAGCUGGUUAGGGGUGAAGAAAAUAUCAACUUUUCAGAGUGAUUUAAGUCAAGGCCAAGCCUCACUGUGUCAUUACUCGUGUGAAUUUUAUAUGCACAUACAUACAUAAAUAAAGUAUGAGACCCAAAUAACACCUUCCCUUUACAAACUUAACCCCAGCCGCUCUCUUUCAAUUCUUUUCACACAAGGGUAUUGACUCUAUAAAGGUCAAGAAAAUCAUAAUUUCCUAGGGUUUACAAGGUAAUUGGCUUAAUGCUAAUGUGAAAACAUAAAAGAUAAUAGUAUAUUGUAAGCUAACGAAUAUUCUAUAGUUAUAAUUAUUUGUGAUGUGCAUAAAUAAAUCUUCAUAUAUAUAAUGGAACAAUGAAUAAAGAACCAAUGAAAAAAUACUAUAUAUCAUUGCUUGGCAUUUAAACCGUAUAUGCUGCUCUUUCUAGCUACUCCAUCCACUGAAAGACAACAAGGUAAUCCAUGUUAUAAUGAUAGAAGAUACUGUCUCUAGGCUUUUUGUGAUGAAAAAUAUAAGAUAUGGGUAGGGUUGACCCUUGUAUGUUUGUCCUAUAAACACUUCAAAGUAACAUAUUUUUCUUCUUUAGCAACUCAUAAUGAUGGGGUUCAUUUGCAUGUCACUGAGUUGAAAAGUUGGACAAUUGCCCAUGUCGCCUUCCUCCUAGAUUCCGUAGUUCACGGGAAGGUAACUCAAGUUUGACAUAUUUUGAAUUCUUUUCACUCGGACGUCUUCAUAACCUGACAAAACAAAAAUGAAAAACAGAGGAUUGGUAUAUUAUUCAUGGUAAGCCUCAAAUUAUAGUAGUAUGAGAAAGGAGAAAAAGAUUUUGGGAACUCCAAUCUGGAUAAUUCUCGUUUCUUCUCUUGAAUAAAAAUUUCACUUACCUAACUUCGUUUGGAGAAAUGGCAUAUUUUAAUUUUGUACGUCAUUGCUAAUAAAUGGAGCAAUUUAGCAUGUUUUGUGACUGAAACUGCAAAUGUCCAAUUGGCAUUUCUUCAUUUCCCACUUAGGAUCUGAUCUUGUAGACCAUAUAACGAUAUGUAUCUGUGCAAGCAUUGAAAACUAAUGUGAACUAUGAGGAGUUACAAGCCACUGGACUGUAGAGCGAGUGCCAAGAUUUAAAUCUUCAGGCUCUAUCUGGGUAAGGGGAGGAUAGCGACCUAACCUUUUACCAAAGGCUUAGAAUUUAGACUUUUGGAAAAAAAUUUCUCAUGUUUUGGCUGGAUUUCUUGUGCUUGGCGCAAAAAGGAGAUGGCCUCAAGAAAUAGCAGACUCACUUUUGUUUUCAGCCCUUAAUAAUUCUCCACUGCUUUCCAUAACUACAUGGGUUAUACAUGCAGUCUGCUGCAAUAUUCCAGUUAUAUUUAUUAUUUCAAAGAGGGUGAAUGACUUCACAUGCAAUAUGUUGCAGUAACAACCCAAAUUUUGGCACACCAUCUUAAGAAUAGAAAAGUAUAAUAAAAGAAAUCAAUCAGAGAAUCACUUUGCAUGCAGUUCAUAGAGUUCGCCCAAAAUGGAGCCACAUGUACGGACAACCCCACAAUAGACAAUCUUCUCUAUACAGUAAUAAAAUACAGAAAUGGUUAAUGAAGCUCUGUAUUUCCUUAUCAUAUAUGACCGGUUGAAAACUCAGCAAGUCUUCCUCAAUCACAGACAGUUGGAGUUGCUUCAUCAAAAUCAUGCCUUCAUUACUGGCUUCAUUUUGGUUUCAAUGUCUGUUCUACCCUUAAAUUGGGUCUCUGCUUACUACCGGGAUAUCCUUUAGCGUCCUGCAAUUCUACUAGAUUAAAGAGAAUGACUUAAUUCUGCAUUCUGCCGUCCCUAGUCCAAGUGGUACUAGAAUUGAUGUUUCCUUUAGUGUCCUUUCUUCAUACUUUCAGGUUCUUCCCUUGUUUCAAUAAUGCUGUUUUCCUUCAUGUUUAACCUCUGUUGAACCACUUAAAACAACACAAUUUGCACACCAAUGUUUCUUUACAGAAAAGACUGUUUGCAAAAAUGCACAUGUUAUAAGGUUAAUGGAAGAAUUAAUUUGGGGAUAAGGGACUAGGAUUGGGCCAAUGAAGUUUGGUGUUAAAUUUUGAUUAUGAUUGCUUUUCAUUAUCAGGUACCUUAUAUUUGCUGAUGCUAUCUGGAACUAAAUUCAAAUCAGACAUUAUCCGAUUACUAACAGGACAUAUCAUGUCCCUCUGCAGAGUUUCUAAACUAACAUGUAUCGAAAUGUGGCCCCAAAAGGAAGGCUAGGAAGAUGGAGGAUUUUGUAGGAAUCGACCAGAAUCAGAUGGAAGAGAGAUAGUCCUGUUGACUUUAAUGGUUGUGAUAGGAACAUGCAUCAUUAUAUGAGAAGUUGCAUGAAUUUAUGUAUCCUGUUAUCGUUCCUUGACGAUUUCCCAAUGCAAUUUCACUGUCCACAAGACUAACCUCUCCAUGCAGUCAAAUGAAUUGUAAUUUCUCUAUUGGUACCAGUAGUACAUUUCAUACCAAACAUAUAGUAAAUAUAAAAUAUAAAUAGAUCAAGGAAAUCUGAAUUGUAGAUAGCACUGCAAGUAACACUCAAUAUUCUCUAUAUAUAAUAAAAUAAACAGUGUCACAAUACUCAUCACCCAGUGGCAAGGGAGAAAAACCUACAAUGAGUACUCAAAUCACCAUUCUCAAACAGAAACAUAGCAGUGACUGAUACAUAGAACCUAUAUGCUCACAGGGAAAGAAUAAGAUGACCAGUGCACAGCGGGCAGCAGCUCUUAUUUUACGUACAACUCAAAUCCCAAACUAACCAAAGUCGCUCAGUUGGGAUGGGUGGGAGAUGGUGGUUUGUGGGAUGGCUUCUGGGUAGGAGCUGGUGGCUUCUGUCCCUUUGGUGGUUUGCCUAAUGAGCUUGGUGGCUUGUGCUCCGGGAGUUGUUUCUCUCCCUCGAGUAGGUUUCGAGUCUUGUCAGAUGGCUUGUGUUCUGGUGGUGGCUUCUCUCCCUGGGGUGGUUUGCCGAAUGGGCUUGGUGGCUUGUGUUCGGGGAGUGGCUUCUCUCCCUGGAGAAGGUUACGAGUUUUGUCAUAUGGCUUUUGUUCUGGUGGUGGCUUCUCUCCCUGGGGUGGUUUGCCGAAUGGGCUUGGUGGCUUGUGUUCGGGGAGUGGCUUCUCUCCCUGGAGAAGGUUACGAGUUUUGUCAGAUGGCUUGUGUUCUGGUGGUGGCUUCUCUCCCUGGGGUGGUUUGCCGAAUGGGCUUGGUGGCUUGUGUUCGGGGAGUGGCUUCUCUCCCUGGAGAAGGUUACGAGUUUUGUCAGAUGGCUUUUGUUCUGGUGGCGGCUUCUCUCCCUGGGGUGGUUUGCCAAAU